GUAAGAACAGCGGCAACUGUUUGGCUUCCUUCGAGUCAAGUGCAAAACUACUUCGAAAGAAAGAAGGUGGUAAAACUUUGCUUUCAUGAUGAUCUCGAAUUACAUUGUAUCCGCAGUCAUGUUUGCUGCAUAUGUGACCUAUGUAGCAGCUGCUAGACUUCCUGGUAUUCCUGGUCGCUAAAUAUCAGAUAACGGAGGUUAAGACUCCAUAAAAUGAUCCUCCAAAUUAGCAGCAUUAAGGCAGACGACUUUACCGAAGACCUGGCUUUAAUAUUAAUGAAACAUAUUCCAAGUACUCCACUCGAAAUGUUUUCAUAUUUCACCUGCAUGUAUAAUGCUUCCUUUGUCAAAAAUAUGCCUUUUAUAAUGUGAUAUUUUCAAAUAAUUUCAGACUGGUAAUGAAACAAUAAAAAAAUGUUUUGCUGCUA